rnacentral:rRNA from 1 species
UAGGGAAUCUUCGGCAAUGGACGAAAGUCUGACCGAGCAACGCCGCGUGAGUGAAGAAGGUUUUCGGAUCGUAAAACUCUGUUGUUAGAGAAGAACAAGGACGUUAGUAACUGAACGUCCCCUGACGGUAUCUAACCAGAAAGCCACGGCUAACUACGUGCCAGCAGCCGCGGUAAUACGUAGGUGUCAAGCGUUGUCCGGAUUUAUUGGGCGUAAAGCGAGCGCAGGCGGUUUCUUAAGUCUGAUGUGAAAGCCCCCGGCUCAACCGGGGAGGGUCAUUGGAAACUGGGAGACUUGAGUGCAGAAGAGGAGAGUGGAAUUCCAUGUGUAGCGGUGAAAUGCGUAGAUAUAUGGAGGAAAACCAGUGGCGAAGGCGGCGCUCUGGUCUGUAACUGACGCUGAGGCUAGAAAGCGUGGGGAGCAAACAGG